GGGGGGGAGGGGCGGCGAGGCGAGGCCUGCGGAGCGGAGGAAGACAAACAUAAAGAUGAAGUGCUUAAUUCAAGGUCACACAAUGUCGGGGAUGGACCUCCAGAUUUCCUUACUGGAAAACAAGCUCAGGGCUCCCACUGAUUGUACAUUAUGAGACGGAGUCUUGCUAUGUUGCCCAGGCUGGUCUUGAACUCCUCACCUCAAGCGAUCCUCCCGUCUUGGCCUCCCAAGUGUCAGGAUUACGGGCAUGUGCUAUCACACCCAACCUGAUACAUUGCCUUUAUAAAUUUUUUUUUCUUUAUUCUAAAAACCAGAAAAAACAAAACUGGAUACAUGUGCAGAACAUGCAGGUGAGACGUGGUCUUGUAACACAGUGGUUAAGAAUGUGACUUUGGAGCCAGCCUGCUAGGGGCUGAAUUCUGACUCAGCCAUUUACUAACUGUGUGACCUUAGGUAAGUCAUUUACCUUCUUUGUCCCUCAGUUUCAUCUCGGUUAAGUAGGGAUAAUGAUAGCACCUAUUUUAUAGGGUUAUUGUGAGGAAUAAAUCCAAGUAAAAUGCUUAGAAUAGUAACUGAAACAUAGCACUCAUUAGGAAUGCUUUAAUUUUCAUUUAUUUGAGUAUUAAAGGUUGAAUUUUCAGAGGUAUUUUGGACCUUUGUAUUUUUUCUUUAAAUCACUUAUUCAUGACUUUUGAACUUUUUUUUUUCUUUUAGAGACAGGGUCUUGGUUUGUUGUCUAGGCUGGAAUGCAGUGGUGCAAUCAUAGCUCACUGUAGCCUUGAACUCUUGGGCUCAAGAGAUCCUCCUGCCUCAGCCUCGUGAGUAGCUGGGCCUACAGGCGCCUGCUACCACACCUGGCUAAUUUUUUAUUUUUUGUAGAGAUGGGUUCUUGCAGCCCAGACUGGUCUUGAGCUUUGGCCUGAAGUGCUCCUCCUGCCUUGGCCUCUCAAAGCAUUGGGGUUACAGGUGUGAAGCACUGCACCUUGCCUACACAUUUUUUCCAAUAAUUUUUUUUAUUAAUUUGUAAGAGUUAACAUGUCGACUAUCAUAUAUAACAUAGAAUUGUUCCCAUUUUGUCAUUUCCUUUCAACUUUGUCUAUGUAGCUUUUUUUCUGUGUGCAAAUUUUACAUUUUUAGGUAGUCAGAAAAUCUCUUCCCUUGUAAUUUUUUCUGCUACUAGACCAAUGUUUAGAAAAAAGCGUGCUUCCCCACCUCAAAAUUAUAAAAAUAGUUACUUGUUCUUUUUGAGUACUGUGUGUGUUUAAAUCUUUAAUCUUUAAAUUUAAAUCUUUGAUCCAUCUGGUAUUUAUUUUGAUAUGAAGAGAGUGGUUGGGAUCUGGCUGUAUUUCUUUUUUCUUUUUUUUUCUUUUUUCUUUUUUUGACGAAGUCUCACUGUUGCUCAGGCUGGAGUGCAAUGGCAUGAUCUCGGCUCAUCACAACCUCUGCUUCCUGGGUUCAAGCGAUUCUCCUGCCUCAGCCUCCCGAGUACCUGGGACUACAGGCACUCGCCACCAUGCCCGGCUGAUUUUUGUAUUUUUAAUAGAGAUGGUUUCACUAUGUUGGCCAGGCUGGUCUCGAACUCCUGACCUUGUGAUCUGCCCACCUCAGCCUCGAAAAGUGCUGGGAUUACAGGCGUGAGCCACUGCGCCCAGCCUUGUAUUUUUUUUCAGUUUGGGUAGCUGUCCCUAAUUCAUUUGUUAAAGGAGAAGCAAGAGCAAGAACCUUUAAUCUGUUCUCCUCUUCCCUAAUUUGAAAGUAGCUUGUUAUUUUGAAUAUCACUUUCUCUGAAAUAGCACAUCUCCAUCUCAGAGAAUGGAUUUAAUGUUUGGAUACAGCCAAAAGUCAUUUCAUUACCAAACCAUGGGGUGAAUAUACCAUGUAAAGCAGUUUGGGAUCAGAACUCACAGUCUGAAUUGUAAGUGAUGAGACUGCUGUCUCUCUGCUACAGCUUCUUGGCUGGCUCUGAAGGCUCUUUGAAGGCAGAUCCUAACAAGGGGACUGCUUUGAAGGGCCAUUGUUCAUUUGGAAUGAUAAAGUCUAUGUUGUUCAAAAAACAAAUGCUUGUAGCAGGUAUUUUUUCACUCCAGACUGAGAAUAUUGGUGGGAUAUUGAUAAGGGGUACUGAAUGGUAAUAAACAUGUGCUCUAGCUCUGUGCUAGUCAGCUUAUUUCAGAACUCUAGUUUGAUUCAGUUUCUUGCCUCUGACUCAAAAUGGAGGGAGAGUGAUUUUUACAUAAGAGAACACACCCACAUAUCCUUUUGGCAGCAGCUACCUGCCAGAGAUGUUGAAGAAGAGUAGCCAACCUUUACACAGCAGAUAUUGUGUGCCAGUCAUAGUCCUAAGUAUAAUACCUUACAUGUAUAAACUUCUUAUAAGGUUGGUGCUCUGUACCGAAUUGAAUAGUAUCCCCCAAAAUUCAUGUUGUCCCAGAACCUAUGAAAGUGAUCUUACUUGAGGGAGGGGGGAGGGGGGAGGGAUAGCAUUAGGAGAUAUACCUAAUGCUAAAUGACGAGUUAAUGGGUGUAGCACACCAGCAUGGCACAUGUAUACAUAUGUAACUAACCUGCACAUUGUGCACAUGUACCCUAAAACUUAAAGUAUAAUAAUAAUAAAAUAAAAAAAAAAAAGAAAGUGAUCUUACUUGGAAAUAAGGUCUUUGCACAUAUGAUCAAGUUGAGAUGAAGUUGUACUGGAAAGUCUGUCUAGUGACUGGUGUUGUCAUAAGAAGAGAGGGACACAGAGGGAAGAUGGCCACAUGAAGAUGGAGGCAGAGAUUGCAGUUAUGCUGCUGCAAACUAAGGAAUGGCUCUGGCCCUCCAAGGAUUGCUGAUAACCACCAGAAACUAGAAGAGACAAGGAAGGAUUCUUCCCUAGAGCCUUCAGAGGGAGCAUGGCCCUACUGACACCUGGAUUUCAAACUUGUAGCUUCCUAAACUGCAAGAGAAUAAAUUUCUGUUGUUUUAAGCCA
rnacentral:lncRNA from 1 species